rnacentral:lncRNA from 1 species
GGACGAUGCAGAAGGCAUGUACCUCCUGGUGAGAAGCUAUAGCAGGACUACGAAUGCAGUUGCUUCCUGGAUGACAGAAAUCCACACUGGCAUCUCCCAGCAGGGGCCUGAACCACUGCCCACAUCCUCCCUGACUCCUCCGCUGAUGGCCCCUCUGCCUCUGGCAGCACCACCUCAGCCUCCAUCUGCUUUCCUCUCGGCCCUGCUCCCAGAAGAAAGCAGUCAGGCUAAAGGGCUACAAGAUAUUUGCUGUCAGGCUGUUGCCUGAGGCUCUGACACCUUGGAGGGAACUUCCAAUGCUGCAUGGCCAGCGGGGUACAGCAAUGAAGGAGGCACUCUUUUUCCCAUGGUGUGGAGGAACCCACAAUACAGUGAGCCAGGGCCCCAGUGCGAAGUCCCGUUAGGGGGCGCAAUACAGGUGUGGGUCUGUGCCACGGCUGUCCAAGGUGCACCCUUGCUGGUCCGGUGAAGAGAAGAGAGUGCGUCUUGAGCGCUGAGCUCUUUUCCCCGCUGGGUCCAGCAGAGGCCUGGCAGCAGGGAGGAGAUGCGUCUGCCGGGGUGAAGAGCUGGAGAGACAUGCCUUGUGCACUGAACUGAAUCCCUGCAUCCCAGCCUACUUCUCCCACCCGCUCUGCCUAGAACAAAAGGCACUGGACAGCAGCCACGACUCAUUCAAAUGGAAGAAAACCCAAAACCAACAUUUGUGUUAUGUCUGAAAGGACACCAUAUUGUUCUAAUUAGUGGAAAGAGAUGCAAGAAAUAAAAUCAUAGGUGUGUCCGAGGGGUUGUCCUCGGGCAUCUGGGAUUCUGAUGCCUUCUUGGACAGGUGAAGGGACUCUAUCGUGGAACCACACAGUUGAUGGGCAUGGCCCUCUCCCAAGAGCAUGAAUGGGCCAUCACAGAGAGUCUUGUUUGUGGGCACAAUUCUUGUUUGUUUUGAUGAUGGUGGGGGGUGAGUAUGGAUGCUCUUCUCUCAAGGAGAUUCUACGCCAGGAAAACCAUCAGCCUUCUGGUAUCCUAGCUCUUUAAACUUUUC